rnacentral:rRNA from 1 species
UACGUAGGGGGCAAGCGUUGUCCGGAUUUAUUGGGCGUAAAGCGCUCGCAGGCGGCUCGAUGCGUCGUGCGUGAAACACCCCGGCUCAACUGGGGAGGGUCGUGCGAUACGGUCGGGCUGGAGGCCAGUAGGGGGAUGCGGAAUUCCUGGUGUAGCGGUGGAAUGCGCAGAUAUCAGGAGGAACACCAAUAGCGAAGGCAGCUCGCUGGGACGGUACUGACGC